GAUGAACGCUGGCGGCGUGCCUAACACAUGCAAGUCGAACGGACGGACGGUAAGCUUGCGCCUUUGAGGUUAGCGGCGGGCGGGUGAGUAACGCGUGGAUCACCUACUUAUAUUUCGGGGAGAACUACGUGAAACCGGCUAUAAUACCACAGCAUAUUUUGAACCGCAGGGUGCAAAGGUUAAUGACGGCUUUGGUGUCUCUUUUAGCUGGUUCCGCGCUGGAUUAGCUAGUUGGUAAGGUAACGGCCUACCAAGGCUACGAUGCGUAGCUGACCUGAGAGGGUGAUCGGCCACACUGGAACUGAGACACGGUCCAGACUCCUACGGGAGGCAGCAGUAGGGAAUAUUACGCAAUGGGCGAAAGCCUGACGGAGCAACGCCGCGUGAGUGAUGAAGGCCUUCGGAUCGUAAAGCCCUGUUAUUAGGGAAGAACAGAUGUGGAAUGAAACGUGCAUGUCUUGACGGUACCUAAUCAGAAAGCAACGGCUAACUACGUG
rnacentral:rRNA from 1 species